GACGAACCGUCCAAACGUUAUUCGGAAUCACUGGGCUUACAGAGUUCGUAGGCGGUCUGGAAAGUUGGGUGUGAAAUCCCUCGGCUCAACCGAGGAACUGCGCUCAAAACUACCCGACUCGAGGGAGAUAGAGGAAAGCGGAACUGAUGGUGGAGCGGUGAAAUGCGUUGAUAUCAUCAGGAACACCGGUGGCGAAGGCGGCUUUCUGGGUCUUACCUGACGCUGAGGAACGAAAGCUAGGGUAGCGAACGGG
rnacentral:rRNA from 1 species